rnacentral:rRNA from 1 species
AGGUAACGGCUCACCAAGACAUCGAUGCCUAGGGGGGCUGAGAGGGUGAUCCCCCCCACUGGUACUGAGACACGGACCAGACUCCUACGGGAGGCAGCAGUAAGGAAUAUUGGGCAAUGGACGAAAGUCUGACCCAGCCAUGCCGCGUGCAGGAUGACGGCCCUAGUGGUUGUAAACUGCUUUUAUACGGGAAAGAAAAGUUCCAACGUGUUGGAAUGUGACUGUACCGUAUGAAUAAGCAUCGGCUAACUCCGUGCCAGCAGCCGCGGUAAUACGGAGGAUGCAAGCGUUAUCCGGAUUCAUUGGGUUUAAAGGGUGCGUAGGCGGAUUGGUAAGUCAGUGGUGAAAUCCUCUCGCUUAACGGGAGAAUUGCCGUUGAUACUAUCAAUCUUGAGUACACUUGAAGUGGGCGGAAUGUGUCAUGUAGCGGUGAAAAUGCAUAGAUAUGACACAGAACACCGAUUGCGAAGGCAGCUCACUAAAUUGUAACUGACGCUGAGGCACGAAAGCGUGGGGAGCAAACAGGAUUAGAUACCCUGGUAGUCCACGCUGUAAACGAUGAUCACUAGCUGUUGGCGAUACACUGUCAGCGGCUGAGCGAAAGUAUUAAGUGAUCCACCUGGGGAGUACGAUCGCAAGGUUGAAACUCAAAGGAAUUGACGGGGGCCCGCACAAGCGGAGGAGCAUGUGGUUUAAUUCGAUGAUACGCGAGGAACCUCACCUAGGCUUAAAUGCUUUUUGACCGUCCUGGAAACAGGAUUUCCCUUCGGGGCAAAUUGCAAGGUGCUGCAUGGUUGUCGUCAGCUCGUGCCGUGAGGUGUCGGGUUAAGUCCCAUAACGAGCGCAACCCCUAUUCUUAGUUGCCAUCAGGUAAUGCUGGGAACUCUAAGGAAACUGCCUACGCAAGUAGUGAGGAAGGUGGGGAUGACGUCAAAUCAGCACGGCCCUUACGCCUAGGGCUACACACGUGCUACAAUGGCCAGCAUAGUGGGUUGCUACCUGGUAACAGGAUGCUAAUCUCUAAAUCUGGUCUCAGUUCGGAUUGAAGUCUGCAACUCGACUUCAUGAAGUUGGAUUCGCUAGUAAUCGCGCAUCAGCAAUGGCGCGGUGAUACGUUCCCGGGCCUUGACACACCGCCCGUCAAGCCAUGGAAGCUGGGAGUGCCUGAAGUCUGUAACCGCAAGG